GUGUACGAUAUAUGUUGAUAACGUUUUAUUAAAGGGACAUCUUUUUUCCGCAGCCCUUCCUGACAUGUUUGGGGAAUGUGGGUUGGAGUUUAUUACACUGAUUACAAAAUGCAAGGUGACUUCUUGGGCACAGUUUUUGUUCCUGGUGCAUAACAAGAUGUUUUGUGUUUGAGGCGUCUGCCUUCUUUUCCUGGGCCUGCAAAUUCUGUGUUCUUGUGGAGUCGCGAUGGCCUUGGCGGAAGGUGGGUUGGGAGGGAAGAGGGUCCAAGCAAAGGGCAGGCUCAGCCCAUGUUUAUAAAGCCCUUAGGGGACCAGAUAGCAAAUUCCCAGGUUUAAAUCUUGUUUGCUGCAACUUGCUGUGUGGCCUUGGGCAAAUUAGUUGAUACUUCU
rnacentral:lncRNA from 1 species